rnacentral:ncRNA from 1 species
GAAGAAGUUAUUAAGGGCGUGCGGGGAAUGCCUAGGCUCUCGGAGGCGAAGAAGGACGUGAUAAGCUGCGAUAAGGUUCGGGGAUCUGCACAUUAGAGUUGAUCCGAACAUUUCCGAAUGGGACAACCCACUUGAUUGAAGAUCAAGUAUCCUUAAUUGGAGGCCAACCUGGUGAACUGAAACAUCUAAGUAACCAGAGGAAAAGAAAACAAAAGUGAUUCCGCAAGUAGUGGCGAGCGAACGCGGAACAGCCCAAACCAGUUCCGUUACGGCGGGAUUGGGGUUGUAGGACUGCUUUUUAGAAGCUGAUUGAAGUCGAAUGACCUGGGAAGGUCGGCCAUAGCAGGUGAUAGCCCUGUAGACGUAAAGGUCAGUAACGUAGCAGGAUCCUGAGUAGGUGGGGACCGGUGAAAUCCCCUCUGAAUCCGGCGGCACCAUCCGCCAAGGCUAAAUACUCCCGAGAGACCGAUAGUGAACGAGUACCGUGAGGGAAAGGUGAAAAGUACCCCGAACAGGGGGGUGAAAAGACCCUGAAACCGCACGCUUACAAGCGGUCGGAGCUCUGUAAUGGAGUGACGGCGUGCCUUUUGCAUAAUGACCCUACGAGUUGCGGUUACUGGCCAGGUUAAGUAUUGAAGAUACGGAGCCGAAGCGAAAGCGAGUCUGAAUAGGGCGAAAAUAGUCAGUGGCUGCAGACGCGAAACUUUGUGAUCUACCCAUGACCAGGUUGAAGUGUCGGUAACACGACAUGGAGGACCGAACCAGUUGACGUUGAAAAGUCUUUGGAUGAGUUGUGGGUAGGGGUGAAAGGCCAAUCAAACUGAGAGAUAGCUCGUACUCCCCGAAAU